UACGUAGGUGGCAAGCGUUGUCCGGAUUUACUGGGCGUAAAGCGCGUGUAGGCGGCAAGGCAAGUCGGAUGUGAAAGCCCGCGGCUCAACCGUGGAAGUGCACUCGAAACUGCCUAGCUAGAGUCUCGGAGAGGAAGGUGGAAUGCUUGGUGUAGAGGUGAAAUUCGUAGAUAUCAAGCAGAACACCUGUGGCGAAGGCGGCCUUCUGGACGAUGACUGACGCUGAGACGCGAAAGCGUGGGGAGCAAACAGG
rnacentral:rRNA from 1 species